CUACGGGGGGCUCCAGUGGGGAAUAUUGCACAAUGGGCGCAAGCCUGAUGCAGCCAUGCCGCGUGUAUGAAGAAGGCCUUCGGGUUGUAAAGUACUUUCAGCGGGGAGGAAGGGAGUAAAGUUAAUACCUUUGCUCAUUGACGUUACCCGCAGAAGAAGCACCGGCUAACUCCGUGCGCAGCAGCCGCGGUAAUACGGAGGGUGCAAGCGUUAAUCGGAAUUACUGGGCGUAAAGCGCACGCAGGCGGUUUGUUAAGUCAGAUGUGAAAUCCCCGGGCUCAACCUGGGAACUGCAUCUGAUACUGGCAAGCUUGAGUCUCGUAGAGGGGGGUAGAAUUCCAGGUGUAGCGGUGAAAUGCGUAGAGAUCUGGGGGAAUACCGGUGGCGAAGGCGGCCCCCUGAACGAAGACUGACGCUCAGGUGCGAAAGCGUGGGGAGCAAACAGGAUUAGAUACCCGCGUAGUC
rnacentral:rRNA from 1 species